GCGUCUGUGAUGGGCGCAGGGUCUGUGAGGUGCAAAGGCCAUUUAGUGUGUGGCCUUAGUUAAUUUUUUGUUUUCAAUUUUCUGUCUCUCAUGUUAUUGAUCUGUAAAAGGAGCAUAAUCGAAGACAAACUGAUGUGAGGAUGAGGAGGAGUCAGAAAUAAACUCAUUCAACUAAUACUUGAGUAGCUACUGUUGCCUACAGUAUGUUCAAGGUUUUGCUAGUCAUCCAUAUGAUCACUAUUGACAGCUUGGGAGACUCACACAGGCUAGUGAAUUUCAGGAAUUAACAGAAACUGAACAGCUUCUAUAAUCCUGCAGGAAGUAACCUCUGGAUGGCACAAACUAUGUAGAGGAAUGGUCAUUCCUCAACUCCCAUGACUGGGAUUCAAGGAGAGCUGUUCUCAGUCAUCUGCAUGUGUUUGACUUUCCUGAUUGAUGACUGCCUUAUCUCCAUCCCCUGGGAACAGUUCUAAAAUAUGAACUGAAAGUCAGGGGUCAGUGGAUGCUGCGUCUGUGAGACACAACUUCAGAGGUGACUAAACUCUCCCUAGAGCUGCCCUCCUCGAAGAUCUUUGUCCUCGGAAAUUGUCAGGGGAAUCUCAAUUUGGCAGCACCAGAUGUCCCAGAGUCUAGGGAGUCAUCAGGCACUAACUUGGGUUUUUUUAAAGUUUGAAUCACAGUUGAUUCGGAAAAUGAUGGAAAGCUGUCAACUAAAGGAAGGUCUGUCGCUCUUUUUAUUUUUGCAUUGUCUUCAGAGGGAGGCCUUCCUAGAAUCCUGACUAGAAUUAACUAGAUCUGAAAGGAAGGCACGAUUUGAAGAGGAGAGGUUUCUACCUAAGCCUUGAUGACAAGAGUUCUGAGGAUGCUGUGGGCCUGGAGAGAAAACUCAAGCUAAACCAAGUAACUCAGUUUAAAUGUAGUUCAGGAGUGAUUUGCAGUGACAUUGCUUCCUCAUAUCCUGAGUGUGCCAGUUGGGAAGGCAUUCUAGAUUUUUAAAGUAUAUAGCAAAUUUCCAUGACUUUCCAAACAGUCCCAAUUCCCUUUGAGAGAGAAAAACAAACGCUGUUUUGUAUUAGAGUGGUUCUCUACCUAUCUUCACAGCAAAGGGUCUUAGAACCUUAGAAGAUUUGAUAAUAUUUGAAAAAUGGAGUCAGAAAUUUCUAUUGAAGUAUUACUAUAAUUUUGUAGCUCUCUGUGAACCCCACAGGAAAUGGGGAAUUUGUAACACGUAUAACCAGACUAAACAGCCAAGAAGUUUUAGUUUAGACACUGUCCAGGAGAGCUGUUGUGGGGCUUGCAAAGACGAGGGAGAUGCAGACCCUGCCUUGGACUUCCUCCUCUGGGAGAAACAGGAAAGGGCCUGGGGUCCAUGAAAAGGGCCUCACAGGAGCCAGAGGAGGACAUGGACGUGGUCAUAUUGUCUGCAGAGAGUGUUUGGAAGCCGUGAGCAGAUCCUGUGGUUUCAGUAGCUCCCAUUUCCUGGACUAGCAGGGGGAAAAAGAUGAAGAGAUCAAUAAUAGGUUUGAUAAAAGUCCAAAUAUGCCUUAAUAAGAAAUUGUCUCUCAUGGAGUAUACUUCAUUAAAGAAAGAAAUUUAGAAUACCUGCUUUUUUUUUGUUCAGACAAUCAGAUCAAACAGAGAACAUCCACUUUGGUUAGAUUAUGUGCUGUCAUGCAAAGCAAUUUACCAUAGACAUGUACAAAAGAAAAGCUUUUUGUGUGUCUGACAAGAAGUGUAUUAGGCUAUUUUUUUCUUUCAAACAAUGCUUAUUACUUUACUGGUCAUGGUUUAUUGAAACUGUAUUAGGGAUACUGCAAGUGAAAUAGUUCACAAGGUAUGUAGCACUUAGUAAAUAUUCAGGAUGCUUUGAUUUUACUCUAUUAUUGGGAUGAGCUAGAGGAGGGGGCUGGAGAAGGGGAAAUAGGAAAAAGAGAAGAGUGGAAAAGGUCAAGGUUCUUCGUGGCUGUAAAAUAUUUCCUGUGCUGAUCCUUUCCUUCGAGCUGAGAGCUGACCCCUGGCUGUCAUGCGUGGACUGGCAGCCUCUUCACUCUCAGCCUUGAGGCCUCCUCUUGAGAGUCAGAAGCUUCUAAUUCACAAGUCUGAAACACAGGCUUAGGGCUAAUGCACUGAUGGUGCAACUGGCUCCUAGAAAAUAUAUCUAUAAAUUGCAUUUUGUAUAUAAUUACAUAUCAAAUUUGUAACUUCUAACUGCUCACUUUUCAAAAAAAAAAUG
rnacentral:lncRNA from 1 species